CCUACGGGUGGCUGCAGUGAGGAAUAUUGGUCAAUGGGCGUAAGCCUGAACCAGCCAUCCCGCGUGCAGGAAGAAGGCGCUAUGCGUCGUAAACUGCUUUUCCAGGGGAAGAAAACCUGAUACGUGUAUCGGCUUGCCGGUACCCUGGGAAUAAGCAUCGGCUAACUCCGUGCCAGCAGCCGCGGUAAUACGGAGGAUGCGGGCGUUAUCCGGAUUUAAGGGUGUUAAAGGGGACUAAGGCGGAUGCGUUGAAACCCUUCAGCUUAACUGGAGACUUGCCAUUGAUACUGUUAGUCUUGAGUACGGUCAAGGUAGGCGGAAUGUGUAAUGUAGCGGUGAAAUGCUUAGAUAUUACACAGAACACCGAUUGCGAAGGCAGCUUACUGGGCCAUUACUGACGCUGAUGCACGAAAGCGUGGGGAGCGAACAGGAUUAGAUACCCCUGUAGUC
rnacentral:rRNA from 1 species